rnacentral:lncRNA from 1 species
GACAUCAGGGGUAAAAGGGUAACUAGCUUCACCAGUAGCUACAACAAGAAAUUUACAAAAAUACUCUUCCAUUUCAUCAGAAUUACCAUUUCUAACCUUAACAUUCCAUUUUUUAGUAAAUUCAUCAAAUUUAGCAAAUUCAACAUUUCUUUUGUAAAAAGGUGUGAUAUUAAAAUGAGUAACAUAGUCAUCCAAGUAUUGAAUGAAUAGUUUUUUUGGUAUAUAAGUAGGUGAAGAAGAAGGAAAAGGAAUAUAAGGAAGUUGACAAAAUUGUUUAGCUAAAUGAAGAUGAACUCUAUCAUAAGAAUAUUUUUUCCACAUAGGAGAGUAACAAUCUUCUUUUCAAGGAUGAGAUUUGAUAUACAUAAUUUAUUUAGACAUGCAGAUGUAGCAAGACCACCAGGGCCACCACCAACAAUGAUAACCAUAGGUUCUUCAUGGUUAUCAAAUGUUGCCAUGACUAAAAUUGAGAAGAAAAUUUGUUGGUGUUGAGAAAAAAAAGAGAGGAGGGAUAUGUGUAUAUAUAUAUAUACUAGAUGACAACUUUGGAGUCAUUAGAAUUUAUUUAAUUUUUUGACUAUUUGAGGCUUCAUUUAUGGUGACAUUAAUUUUUCUUCUCCUUUUUUUAAUAUUUUGGUUUGAUUUGGUAGAUUGUGUUACACAAAUUAUUAAGUCAACACUUAUAAAUUUACAUUGCUAAAAUUACAUUUUGUCAACAAUUUAUAAGUGUUGACUUAAUAAUUUGUGCAACACAAUCUACCAAAUCAAACCAAAAUAUUUAAAAAGGGAGAAGAAAAAUUAAUAAGUCACCAUAAAUGAAGCCCCAAAUAGUCAAAAAAAAUAAAAAAUUCUUCUGAAAAAACUGAAUAAAUGACGAUAUAAAGAUUAUAUAUUACUAGUACUAACAUGACUUUCUAGUUUUCGAUAUAUAACAUUAGAUUCCUAUCAAUUCUUAACAAAUUAAUAAAUAAAUUAAAAAAUAAAAAUGAAAAAUGUUUUCUUUUUUAAAUUCUAGCGUAUUUUCCUUUAAUUAACUAGAGUAAUAUUUUUCUGCAUAAAUAUAAUAUUUUGCUAGCGUUUGAUCAUAGAUUUUCAAAUAUUUUUGGCAAAUAUUAUUUGGGUGAAAAUUUGGGCGAAAUUUCACCAUGUGUUUGACCAUAGUAUUUGGGAAACAUAUUUCACUUUUUUUGAAAAAUAUGAUUUAUACCCAUAAGUUUUAAAAACUAUCAAAACUAACUAUAAGUUUGUAUUACAAGUCAAUUGGAUCUUCGUUGCAACAAAUAACAAGUAGUGUCCAUGACAAUGGAGGAAUGUGGUAGUUUGGAGUGAGUGCAACAAGCAUUAUUCCAUACAACGUAAAGUAGACAAAGCACAUAACAUUGUUACCCUGAGCCGAUUGUUCAUCAUUUUAUUUUUCAUCAACAACCAUAUCGUCACUUUCAUAUUCACUGAAUAUUUCAUCACUACUUUGGUGUUCAUGUAAAAAAAAUUAUGUAAUAGAGCACAAAUAACUACUAUAGAGAGUGUUUUUGUAAAAGAUAAAAAUUUGGUGUAUAAUUUAAAUUUUUAAAAGAUUCCAAAUAAUGAGAUUUGGCCCAAAUACUAGUUUUUUCUAGUAUUUGAGAAUUUGGGUUAUUUGCCAAAUAAUGACAAAUUGUAUGGACAAACACUAUUUGUCAAAUCUUUCCCCAAAUUUUACUUUGAAAAUCUAUGGCCAAACGGGUCUAAUUGUAACUUGCAUGAUAUAUUGAUUCCCCAAUUUUCUCCUAGCCAGUUGGUUAAAAAGAUCACUCCUUCCUAAAAUAUCUCUCUCCAAUAUUUUCUCUUCCUAGUCUUCUUCCAUAAUUCAAGAUAAAAAUAAUUGUUCCUAAUCUUUUUCCCAAAAAUAUAUUUCUUUAAUAUUCACACAAUUUUCUCCUUUAAAUAUUUUCAUACAAUUUUUUUCUUAGUUUUUUAAACACAAUUUUUUCUUCUUUUUCCUAUUUGUAUGCUUUCAUCCCUGAUUUUUUAGUUUUUUUUUUUUAUAAUUUAAAUCUUGAAAAAUAACAAAAUUUAUUAUUAUUUUUUCAGUACGAAAGAUGGUAUCAUUCAUUCAAUACGAAAAUCGAUAACAUGAAUUUUAAAUUCAAAUUGGUAUCAUAGUGUAUGAAUUAGUAUACAAAUUGAUAUCAGUUAAAUAAAUAUCACAAUUUUAUUUUUAUUUAUUUUUAAUUAAAGAGGGCUCAACGACCCAUUUUUUCAUUAAUGUAAAGCAGAUUAUUACAGUGCCCAAAAUCCAAAAGAAAAAAACUUAAUAUAAAACUAAAGAAAAGGAAAGAAAUAAGAAAAGACACAACAAGAAAAUGUCUGGUAAUGUGAAAAUCCAUCAGAUCUGUGCUCUCCUGGUUGGUUUCUUCCAACCUCAGCACAUCCAAAUGGAACCCCAUUGGAGGUGUGAGCUCUCAUAAUUCUUCAAGAUUAUUACUUCUGGUAUUUGAGGUACAGCAAAGCACUACAAUAUCAUGUCAGCCCCCAAUUCUCAGAGAUAUGAUUUAUAGCCAAGUUAGACCAGGUAUUGUAUCCAACUUUUCGUUCCAUAUGUAUCAUCCUAUCUAUUUCUCAAACUUAUGUAGCUUAUGUAAAUAUGCCAUGAGACCCUUAAUUCCGACCAUAAGUUGAGAAAAUUGUGUUUUGCUACUAUCAAUCAUGAUUUCUUUCCCUUUCUAGAUCCCGAUGGGUUGAGUCUCAAGAGACUAAUACCACCAUCUGAGAUAAAAGAUUGGGUGAGAAAGUCACAACUUUUAGUAGCUGAAAAUCAUGUGAACUUUUGCAGAUUACAAAGAAAAAUUGGAGUCAUCAGCUUACCUUCCAUCAAAACUAAUGUCCUGAUUUGGUAUUAGGCGAACACCUCAAUGCUCUCACCAGAUGCAAAUACUCAAACCAUUACGAAAUUACUUCAGACAAUAGUUAACGAAUUUAGAUACUAACAACCAAUUCCCUUUUAUUUCUACCAGAACUUGUAAUCUUCAUAAAUAUGUUAUCAGUGUAUUGAUUUAAUCUACUAGUCUUCUUCUAAUGUGAGGAGUGCCACUCUUGUCCAAGUUUAGAAUUCUCUGCCCUUCCAUAGGAAUGUCUUGGAAAUGGCUAAAUUGAUAAUUACCUGCAAGAUCAAAAACUAGGUUAGCAAAAUAAUCAUCUAGAGUAUUUCCUUCUCGAAAGAUAUGUUGUACUCUCGCUGAUAAUGAUCUCCUCAAAUAGCUUAUGGAAUUGACCUCUAGUGUCACACUCUAAGGGACAUCCCACCUCCCUUCCAAGAUCUGUACCAUGGCCAUAGAAUCAGUUUCAAUAAUGACAUGUGAUAAAUGAUGCUCCUUACAAAAAAACAAUCCUUCUCUAAUAGCUCUAGCUUCAGCUACCAAAUUAGAGGUAUCUUGUAUCUUGAAUCCUUUAGCCACCAUCAAUGAGCCAGAGUAAUCUCUUAUUCAAAAGGCCGCAGAGCUAGGUCCUGGAUUACCCCUAGAUGCACCAUCUGUAUUGCAUUUCACCCAAUUAGUAGGGAGAGGGAUCCAUCUCACAAUGUUAAUGCUAUAGUUAUUUCUAUGCCCCUGUAAAUUAGUAAUGAUAUCCGGCCAACUGUUCCUUCCUAUAUCUCUUUCGAACCUUAUUUUAAUCACCUUCAGAAUAUUGUCAUUAAUCUCCCAAAUGACCUUUCUUUCUGAGAAUGAGCCACCAUGUAAAAUAGUGUUCCUUCUCCUCCACAAACACCACAAAAUGACAAUGGGUGAUUAUCUUCUAAAUUGGAUAUCAUAAUCCAUAAAUAUUAAUUUGUACAAUAAUUUUAUAAAUAAUUAAUAAAAUAUAAAAUUUACUAAGCAUCAAUUUUUAUACUAAUUUUUAUAGUCAUUAUACACAUUACAUAUAAAACAUGUUUAUAUAUAACUGAUAUAAAAAGAUUAAGUAAACCAAUUUGUAUAUUUAUUCCAUACAUAUUAUUUAUAUAUAUCCAUUCUAUAUACAUAUAUAGUUUCCGAUUAUAUAUUGUUUACGCUCCAAACGUGAACAUACCAUAUUAUAUAUCAAUUCCAUAUAAUGCAUAAUUAAAAAAAUCUCUGAUACCUAUUUUAAGACCAAAUGAAUAUGUUAAGAACUCAACAUAAAUAUCAAUUAGUGUAUUUAACGGGUAUAUAAAUUGGUUAACAAUGGUAGAUUAAGCUAAAACAUGAAAAUCAAAUUUAAUACAGUUUUCAUAUAUUAAUAAAAUUUUACUAACAUACAAAUUUGUUGGGCAUCAUUUUUCAUACAUAAUUAGAUACAAUUGGUGGCCUUCAUCUUCACUGAUGCAGAUCUCUCUCAAGUCUCCAACAAGGGUUCAUGAAAAAAUCAAGAAUGACUUGAAGAAGGAAAAAAAUAUUGAAAUAUAGUUAAAGAAUCACUAGUUGAAACUAACUCACAAUUAGUAUUGCUACAAUGGAGAGAAGAUUCACAUGAAUUUCAUCAUGGUUGUGAAUUUUUUUUAAAAAAAAUUAAGGAGAGAUGUUUGAAAUUUCAAGUACUAUUACGAAUUAUUACCUUUUAUGGAGGCAUGUAACAUUAUAAUUCCUAAAUUGUAGUUAGAUAAUUACCUUGGUAACUGCUAUAAAAAAAUGCUUCUUAUUUUCUCUUUCCAAUAUUAAAUAUGAAAAUAAAAUUUAAAUUAAAUAAAUUAAUUUGAAUCUGUUAUCACUAGUAAUUAAGUUGUUGUAUUAGUAAUUCCUAAUUAAUAGAUUUAUAUGAUGUAAUAUAAGAUCUUAAAUACAUAUAAGGAGUAAAUAUGACAAGUCUAAAAACAACCACCUCCCCCAUCCCCACUCUCACCCUCAAUUUACUUUUAACUCUCAAAUUUAUAAAAUUAUAUUUUAGCACUAAUUCUUAGCUAUAAUAAGACAUAUUCCUUCAUUUUUCCUCACCAUUCUAACUAUUAACUAAGCUUGUGCACAAAUCGGUCCAACUCGAAUUGUCGGACAAAAUUUGGAGCGAUUUGGAUAAUAUAAUUUAGUUAUACAAUUCGAAUUUGAUUUACAAAUUCAAGUAUAAAAUAUUAUGAUUUUUUUUAUUGCAUCCGAUCCAAUCAAGAAAUUGAACUGUGUAAACGUGGCUAAAAGUUAUUAAUACCAAAACAUGUGGUUGCAUAUUUGUGAAAAAACUCCGAUAGGUAAUUGAAGUAUUUAUUUAUCAAACAUAUAGGAAUAUUUAUUUUGAGAAGGUUAUUUUUUAGCGUGAAGAAAUAUACAAAGCGUGUCUUAAUAAAAUAUGUUACUAUUAUGCUCGCAAGCUAGUAGUAGCACAAUCUAUUUAUUUAUUUGGAACCCUCGGGGUAAUCGAUAACCUUUGCCACAAUCUCUAUCCGAACAACCACUCAACUUUGUUCUUGCAUACGGACGAGUAGCAUAAAUUAUGAAGCUCUUGUUUUGCCAUUUAUAUGCUAUAAUUAAUAAUGUAUUGGGCAUGUGCAUUUCUAACCGUACAUGCAGGAGUAGUAGGUAUCAGAUGAAUGAAUAGGGAUGAAUGUCAAAAAUUGUUAAGACAAAUAAGAAUUUGAAACAUGUAUCAAUCAUUAUUUUUAUUUCCAAAUAAAUCUAAAUUAUUUAAAAUGUAUGUAAUUAUUAAUUUUUUACAUUCUAUUUUGUGGUGACAAUUUGAGAUUACUAUACGAUGAUAAUUUGAAAAAAUAUUAUUUUAACCUUGAUUGUUUCUUAAAACAUUAUGCAAGUAUUUAUGAAUGGUAGAGAUGUGUAAAAGAUGGCUACAACACAACAAUUACAAACAAAUCCAAUCUAAAAACAUGGAAGAAUUUUAUUAUAAAAAGUCCAAACUCCCAUUGAAGUUUGAUUUAUAUAUAAAGAUGUCCUUGUUCUUUACGUAUUAAAAAUAAAACUUCUUUCUAUUUUGACACAAAGAGUAUAAAGAACCACUAGAAAAUUCAGUAAAGUAUGUUAUUCAAUUCUUGAAAUUAAAAAGAAUGACAAGUUUAAUCAAUCUUGGUCAUAAUCUGAUUAAGUUAAAUGAGGUUUGAACUGUAAAAAUUCUCACAUUCUUUUAAUUCUAAUCAUUCUCCAUUUUCUCUAGCUAUGCCUCUUUCUCCUUCUUCUUUUUUGUUUCUGAAUGAUUUUUUCUCCAUUUUUUCUGUUACUCCAUUGUUAUUGUUUUUCUUCUACCUUACCCUUGCUCUUUUUUCUUCCUCCUCCUCUUUCUCCUUUUAUUUUCUUGUGUGUUCUUGUUGUUCUUCAUCAAUUUAGAAAAAAAACCAUCUAAUUUAUUUGUAUAGUACUGGAUAUUACCUAGAACUAAUAUUCGAUCAUUUGAUAAGCUAAUAAUGUUGUGUUAUAACAAUUGUUUAUAUUGUGAAGUUGCAUUUUCAAGAAAUUUCAAUAACAGUUAUCCAUGUUGCAAUGAGAAAGUUAUUAUAUAAAAACUUUUAAGUUUUUCAUAACAACUAACAAAGAAGUUACAACAAUUAUUGCAAAUGCUACAUAUUAUAUGAAUAGCUUUUAAACAUGUAAAGAAAUUUGUUGCAAUAGUUGAUGUAAUUAAUGCAAUUUUCAAAUGAACAAUUGAAUCUAUUAGAACAACUAAUAAACUUCUUGUGUAUAUAGCAAUAAUUGUUGUACUUGGCAAGCAUUUUCAAACAAGUAAACUACCAAAUUGUACAAUUUCAAGUUCUCUUAUACUUUAAUUUUAUUUACGGGACUAAACCUGAAUGCAAAAUAAAGAUAAAUAAUAAAUUUUAUUUUAGUGCUUCUAAUAUAAAAAAAAAAUAUAACUUACAUAAAUCCCAUAGUUUUAAUAUGAAAUUACAAUAUAUCCCUCAUUAGUUUGUAAUUACAUUAAUCCCUUAAAAAGUAAUACAAAACGGGUACAUAAUAUGUAGCUCGGAUACAUUAUAACAUAAACUGGAUACAUAAUAUGUAGCUCGGAUAUAUUAAAAACUAGCUCGGAUACAUAAUAUGUAGCUCGGAUACAUUAAAUACUGGCUCGGAUACAUUAAUAUGAUACAUUAAAGAAAUAAGGGAUUUUAGAGAUUUUUAAAAAUAGAAGGGGAUAUUGGAAAUAAGGAAAAUAUAAAUGUGUACUUCAGUAAUUUUUCCAAAAAAAAAUGUGUUGAUAAAAAUUGUAUUAGUUCAAUUAGUUGAAACAUACCUAUUGUAUAAUGAUGAUAUCGUAGAUUCGAGCCUUAUUAUAUGUUAAUACUUUUUUUUUAAUUUCAAAAGGAAUGACCUAGUUUGACUUGACACGGAGUUUAAGCAAAUAAAAAAGACUUUUUAAUUUUGUGGUCCUAAAUUAAAGUUAAGUCAAAUGUACCAAAAUAUCUUUAAUCUUGUGAACUUAAACUUGACACGAUAAAUUAAUGGUUUACCAAAAAUAGAAAUGAGUCAUUAUUUUUUAAACAAACUGACAAGAAAAAUACAUUAUUCUUUUUGAAACAGGCUAACAAGGAAAGAAAAGUAUAUUAUUAUUUUUUGAAACAGAGUAAUAAUUAAUAAGAAUUUUAGUACAAUUACAACAGAUGUAAGGCUACAAAUUGUAACUGAAACUACUACUUGUACUAUAGUUACUACGAACACAAAGGGUUUCUAACACUUUGUUUGGAUGGUUGUUACGUAUUGUUUUAUAAUGUAUUAUAUUAUAUUAUAUUAUAUUUGUUGUAUUGUAUUGUACUGUAUUGUUUUAAUGAAUACAAUGUUUAGAUAGAUUGCAACGUUCUCUGUCAUUACAUAAUGUUACACAUCCAUAAUUUGAAUGAUAAGCCUACAAAAAAAGUAGGGUACGGGAUCAGUGGCGGAGCCAGGAUUUUCAGUAAGGGGGUUCAAAAUCUAAAAAUAUAGACACACGAAGUAGCCGAAGGGGGGUCGACAUCUACUAUAUAUACCUAAAAAAUUAUUUUUAACCAUAUAUAAAUCAUAUAAUUUUUCCGCCGAAGGGGGGUCGGAUGACCCCCCUCAUUGUAAGGUGGCUCAGCCACUGUACGGGAUAUAGCUACUAUGAAAAGGUAGGAUAAAAUAUGAAAUAUGAUUCUUAAAUAAUAAAUAAAGACAAAAUGAGAAGAAAAUAUUAAGGUAACGACACGAUAAAACCAAAUUGAUCGUUACAUAAAAAUUAAAAUAUGUCUUUUUAUCGUUACCUAACGAUGAAUUUAAACAAUACGAUAUAAGAACAAAGAACAAAUCUAACUGUUUUUUCUUUUGGCUUAUAUAUUUUGACAUAUAUAACAACUUUUUUUAUUUUGGUUUUAAGACCAAAUGAGCUUGUGGUCAUUAAUUGCCUGCGUAGAUGGUUAAGCUUGAAGAAGUCAACAAAAUUGAGAGAGUUGUACUUUCACCUCACCUAGGUAUUAAGUACGAACUGUAUACUUUUCAAUCAUUUUUACUCACUAGGUAAACCCCACUUGUAAUAGCCUGCUGCAAACUACAUCGAAGAUAUAAAUCGUACUAAGCAAUUACUAUGCAGUAGUUUUUCAAUGUUAAUAUAUACAAUAUUUAAAUAAUUACAUAUUUAUUGUUCAUAUUAAUUGAAAUUUUUAGUUUGUACUCAAUCUUUUACUAAUCAUUAUGUAAUAUUUUUAAAAUUUUUAUUAUUUGUUAAAAUACAACUGAUGUAAUUAUAAUUAAAAGUUGUAGGUAAUUAUAUUUAUAGCUAAUUUCUACUUCUUAAUUUGUUUAAUGCAUUUCAAUUUGAAUCAAUCACGUUUUAAUAUUGACUUUCUAAGAUUGUUAUCAAUUUUUUCAGGUGUCUUUUUAGACAUUUCAAGCUCAAACCAAUUAUAUUAUCGAAUAAUUAAAUUUACAAAAACAUUGACUAACUUUGAAUGUCUUAUAAAGCGUAACAAUCACUAUAAUAUUGAUGAGUUAGACCUAUUUUUAUAAUUUAAGAUAAUACGGAAUAUUAUACAAGUAAAAAUAAUACUCCAAUAAUUGACAUACUAGGUGAUGUCUUAAUACUAUUUUUUUAUAAAUAUUUCUACUACUUCUAGAAUAAUUUUGAUAGUUUAUGUAAUAAUUGACUCAAUUUAAAAAGUUUUUAAGACUAUGAUCAAUAAGAAUUUACCUAGAAUAUAAACAUUUGUGGUAUUAUGUAACGUAUAAUAAUUUAUAUAUAACUAUUUCAGUCCUAUGAAUUAUUACAAAAAAUAUAUAUUAUACUAUCGAUUGAAAUUUAAAAAAAUAUUGUACUAACAAUUGAAAAAGAGAAUUAACUAUCAAAUUUAUAAUUAACUAUUAGAAUAUAUAAAUGAUUACAUAAACAUAAGAUCUCUUUUUUUUAAAUUUAGUUUUAGGUCUCGCAUCCUAUUAAGUUGUCCCCGAUAUUCUGGGUGGGGUGACAUCUCAAUAUAUGUGGUAAAAUCCAUCAAUCACAUACUCAACCUUAGUAUUAUGUCUUCUCCCUUCCUAAAUCUUCCUGCUUUUUACAUCAGGCAUCAUCAUCAGAAUUGUGUUUUCUUUGUGACUUCUUAUUUUUAGCAUCACAGACAUCAUCAUACUCAGUAACAUGUCUUAUGUAACGACUCGAACCGUCGUUAAUUAGGAAAAGCAAAAAUUCGGGAUAAAAUGUUGGUUUGAUGGUAAAGUACCCAGCAGAAAUGGGCCACUAUCCCGUCAGGGCGGACCAGAUGCCGCUAGGGUGCCGGCGCCAGGGCGGGGUAAGUUGGCGCCAGAGUGGGAUAGGCGAGAAAAAAUGUAAAUAACACGAAAUCCUAUUUUCUCCUUUUUCCUAAAAUACCUAAAUUAGUCGUAAAACACCCUAGAAACUCUCAGAAAGCUGCUCUAAGUUUGGAAAUGAAGGAAAAGGAGAUUUCUAGUGUGAGAAUGGUGAUAUCUUGCGGAUUCUUGGCCAAAUUCACCAUCAUGUCGUUCGGAAAACCAGAAAAUUAUCUGUAAUUACUCCGUGCAGCUGCUUGGCGCCCAGUUAGGCUAGGUUUUAUUAAUUGAAUAGUUAUAAAUUUGUGUUCACCACGUAGCAUAUGUAAAUCAACGGUAGAAUUAUGCGUAUGCCCUUGUGCACCGAACAAAAUAUGGUUAAAUCCUAGGAAGAAGCCUUAGAGAAUGAUCUAGAGUUAGGUGAUGGUUGUGAGUCUAUGAUUGUGUGAUGUAUGUUUAUUCUUGUUUCAUUAUGAUACAUGUAUGUAUGUGAAUGUUGCAUUAUUGAUCACACUUGUUGUAAAGGAGAUAGAGGGACGAUGAAUGCCAUGAAUCAUGACUAAAUUGUGUGACCUUGAGAAUAUACUUGUGAUUGUGAUUGUGGUGUGUUGAAUAGAUCGGUUGCCACGUUCCGGCAUAAAUAUGAGAUUGGUUGCCAUGUUCUGACAUAACUAACAUGGAUCAGUUGCCACGUUUUGGCAUAACUAAUUUGGAUCGAUUGCCACGUUCCGGCAUAACUAACUUGGAUCGGUUGCCACGUUCCGAUAUAAAUAUGAGAUUGAUUGGCACGUUUCGGCAUAAAUCUUGGAUCGGGUACCACGUUCCGGUAUGCUAACAGUUUGGGUUUUGGGUUCCAUGAGAGGACCAAUGACUUGACAUAAUUGUGUACUUCGAGGAUUGUGAAAUUGAAUGUGGUUCGUAAUGAUAAAUGAUAUUGUAAUUCCCUGGAGUAGUCGUAUGGUAAUGAGGACUUUUAUCUUAUUGUUCUUUGUGUUGGAUGAACUUGUUGUGUAUGUGGUUGUUGGGUGAAUCGGGAGGCCAAGGGUUCAAGGGUCGUAAUAAUUGAAAGCAAGGGCAGUCCGUAUGUUACAAGGGUGAGAAGUAGAGGUAGUAUACGUGAUGUAAAUGCUUAAGUGGAUUUCACUUGGAAGAAAGGGAUUCGUAUUUAGUGGUUUGAAAGCUUGACGUAAUGUACUAUGUGACCAGGGCUGGGUAAUACGAAGAGAAAGUAAGGGUGUGACGUGAGCGGUUAGUUGGAACGCUUGUAGUUAUAUUUGGGGAUUUUUUGUGUGCUAGAAUAUAUGGUUAGUCUAUGACCAAGUACCUAGUAAGUAGGUUGACUGAAAAGAUUGUUAGUAGUUAGAGUACUAAUGUAAUUUGGAGGUAUUUCGAGAGAGAGUAAAGGUGGAGAAGCGAGUGGUUUUAUUUCAUGAUCUUACUAGUUGGUUUCUUAUGUUAUGUGGUGUGCGUCGAGUUCGUGUGGUUGUACUGAUACUACUCUUGCUAUGUCUUUUGACAUAGACUUGAUGCAGGUUGGUGAUAUUCCAUUAGGUGAAGACGAAAAAAUUCUCCAGCAGCUUCUAUCUUUCUUUCCGCAUGGUGGGAGCGAUGUCUUUUAAAUUAUUAUGUCCAGUUGUACUCUUAAUAGCUCUUGUAUUUGUUUAGACUAGAUUCUUGGGGGUGUUAGUUACUUUACAAGUUUAACUCUAAAUUGUUUAAAUUUUUAUUUAGAGAAAAUACAUAAUUACCCCAUCAAAUUUGUACCAUUUUUUGAAGUAGACGCCUAAAGUUUGCGGGGGGAGUCCUAUUACCCCAUCCAACCAUUUCCAAGAAUUUUAAAUACACUGUUUUUAUAAAAUUUGCAGUCUCAUAAUUUGUGCGUGUGUUUCACCCUCUUACUUGUUUAAUAGUAGGUCGGGUAAAACCCUGACCCACUUACAUUUUAACCCAUAAACCUUUUCAGAAAAAUUCAUGUUCAUCUUUUCCAAUUUCUUUUCCCAAUUCUUUCGAUUUACUUUACUUCAAAAGAUUUAUUUUUUUUGGAUGUUUAUUUAGUGUUUGAUUUUAAUUUGUUUCCCCAAAAAUUAGUUUAAUCCUUUUUAACUUUGUGGGUAUUCCGAAAUCAGCCUAGCUUUGAGUUCUAUAAGUGAAUUUCACAUUUUUUUGAAUUUGUACAAGUAGAUUCUUUGAUACUUUUGUUCUUGGGAAACUAUAUGAACGGAAAUGGGUUCAAAUUUCUUUGUUGAAAGGUAAAUUAUGUGCUAAAUUGACCAAGUAUUUUGUCGUUGUUAAAUAGAUUUUUCUAAUAAAAGACCUUAAGAUGGAUUGCUAGAACUUGAUGAUAGAGUAUACAGUAAAGCAAUUCGCUUCGCGUAGUAAAAAACCAACUUUUGUUGUUGAGAAAAGCUCUCAACAAUCAUUAAUGGUGGUUUUGGGAAGAAGAAACGUGGGUCUCUUUUCACUUUGGUUUAACAAUGCCAUGUGUUAGCUUUUCAUUGGUUUGUGGCUGCAAUUUUACCCUUUCACGCGCUUCUCUAGUGUGAAAUCACAAUUACCUUGAAAAUGAGUCAAAAUGAUGUAUUUAUUGUGGAUUUAAAUGAUUUCGUGGGGUAAUAGGACCUCCGCAAACUUAAGGUGUCUUAUUCAAAAAAGGGUUUAAGUUUGAUGGGGUAAUUAUGUAUUUUCUCUUUUAUUUAUGAAAACUCGAUGAUUUCGUUUAUCUCCGUUUUUCGUUAAUUUUUCCACAUGUUUUAACUUUUGCGAUAUGAUGUUUCUCCUACUUAGACGUUAGAGUGGGUGUCCGCACGGCCCAGUGGGUUGGGUCGUGACAUAUUCUAACUUCAUGAAUUUUCCUACUUUUUACAUCACGAUCACUACCAUCAGAAUCGUCAUCAGAAUCAUGUCUUCUACCUCUCUGUGACUUCUUGUUUUUACCGUCACGACCAUCAUCAUUGUCAUCAGACUUAUGUCUUUAACCUCUUUGUAAGGUCUUGUUUUUAGCAUCACGACCAUCAUCAUAUUUAUUCUCAGCAACAUGUCUUUUCUCUUUCUGAAUCAUCUUGUUUAAGCCAUCACAGUCAUUGCCAUGGUCAUCCUCAUCAGAAUCAUGUCUUCUACCUCUUUGUGAGGUCUUGUUUUUAGCAUCACGACCAUCAUCAUAUUUAUCCUCAGCAACAUGUCUUUUAUCUUUCUGAAUCAUCUUGUUCAUGACAUCACGAUCAUUGUUAUGGUCAUCCUCAUCAGAAUUUGUGAGGUCUUCUUUUUAGCAUCACGACCAUCAUCAUAUUUAUCCUCAGCAACAUGUCUUUUCUCUUUCUGAAUCAUCUUGUUUUUGACAUCACGGUCAUUGUCGUGGUCAUCCUCAAUAAAAUCAUGUCUUCUACCCUGUUGAAGCUUAAUGAUUUUUGCAUCACGGCCAUCAUUAUCACCCACAAAAUGUCUCAUAUGCAAUUUCACGUGUUUCUUCUCAUGAUCAGACUCUGAAUAAGAGUCAGAAUCAGAAUCAGAGGAUGAAUCGUCACUGUGAUGCCGCCUUCUAACCUUCUUGAACUUGAAAGACAACUUUCUUGACUUUUUACCACCAACAGUAUCAGAAUCAGAACUAGCAUGAGCCUUCUUACAGGUUUUCUUAGACUCUUUGGCAUGGAUUUCACUGCUGUCAGUGUUAGACGAAUCGUCACGUCCUCUCCUCUUCUCUUUUUUCUUAUGACGCUUACCCUCGUCCUUUUCUUUUGCCAAGUCAUUAACUUCAGGGGCGUAUCUAGAGGGGGUGUUGUGGGUUCACGUGAACCCAUGCUCCCCUCUCUAGAUCAUAUAUAAUAGUGUUAUAUUUUUUAUAAAAUAUUUAAAUAUAGAUGUGUGAACCCACGUUCAAAGUAUUGUAUUAUACGAUGAUGAUUGGGUGCACCCCUCUAAGUGAGGAUAGAAAUUUAAAUCUUAUAUCUAUCUUGUCUUUUACUAACACCUCUCUCUCUAAGUGGUUAUUGGUUACACUUUUGGCGUUUCAACUAAUUAUUCUUUUGUUUUUUUCCAUUAAUCUUUCAAAAUUUUCAAGUGUGUUACAUUGAAAAUUCCUAAAAAAAUUAGCACUGUAAAAUUUUUAUAUCAUUAAAUCAAAUGUGUAUAUUAAAAUUUAAAACUAGUAGCAUUAUAUGUUUUGGACCUAUAAUUUUUAAAAUUUAAUGGUUCAUAUUAAAAACUUAAAAGUCAAACCGAUCAAAUUUAUAUUUAAGAUACAUUUUUUUUGUAAUUGUGCACCCAUCUUGUGGAAAUCUUGGAUACGCCUCUGAUUAACUUCACCCUCUUCAAAAUGAGCUAAAGCAUCAUGCUGCUUCUUCGGAGUGUCGUGUUCAGCCCCUAUCUUGAGAGCAACUUUUAAGUUUUCCAUUUGAUUUUCUUUCAAAGCAGCGAUCUGGUGUGUUUGUGUUUCCAAAACCCUGGAAUGAACAAGUUUAGUUAUUGCAUAUCAACCUCACGGUAUCUAUAAAAAUACUGAAAAAAUGAUCAAAAUAGUCCCUAAUGUAUGAGGGUUGCAUUAUUUUGAUCCUUAAUAUAUUCAACAUGAUUCAUAUGGUCCUUAAUGUAUUAUAAAAGAUACUCAAUUUGGUCAUUUGCCCUAAAAGUAACAAAUCCAUCAGUUAACUUUAACGUCAGGCCCACUAAAAAAUAAAAUACCAAAAGCUCCCUUUCUCCUUCAUCAGGCAUAGCUGAAAGGGAUAAUUGUACAAAAUGACAAACUUAUAAUCUAAAAUAAAUGGAGUAGCUACUGUUUGAUUUAAUUGCGCCCUGUAGCAAACGUUUGCCAGUCGCCUCUCUCCCUCCAAAUUCUCGCUCGCCACUCUCCCUUUCUCGCUCGCUCCCCCUGUGCUCGCCUCUCUCGCUUUAUACAACAGAAUUGUAUAAAUUGCGUUUUUGUUUGUAUAAAGCGAGAUAAAAUUGUAUAUACACAUGAAAAUACAUAUAUAUUCGUCCUAUACACUUAUAAUUAUACAAUAAAAAUAUUCCCCUGCCUAGUUCUCUUUUGCCUUUCUCUCUUUCUCGUUUUAUACAAACACAGAUUAUACAAUAUAAUGUAAAAUUUAUGUUUGUAUAAUGUAUAAUUUAUGUUUGUAUUAAAGCGAAAGAAAAUUGUUAUAUACACAUGCAAAUACAUAUAUAUUCGUCUUAUACACUUAUACUUAUACAAUACAAAUAUUCCUCUGCCCAGAUCUCUUUUGCCUUUCUCUCUUUCACGUUUUAUACAAACACAGAUUAUACAAAUAUAAUGUAUAAUUUAUGUUUGUAUAAGAGAAAGAGAGCGAUUUUUUAUAUAUAAAUAUUUUUGUCAACGAUUUAUACAAACGAGAGGCUAACAACAAUUUAUACAAAUGGCCUGCCAGCGAAAUUAUACAAAUCUGAAGAGGAGCCAACGAAUUAUACAAUUGCUUCUUUUUGUAUAUAUGUAUAGCGAAAUAGACAUAACUUUCAAUUUGUAUAUGUAUAAGCGAAUUAUACAUAUAUUAUGUUUGUUAUGGAGCGCAAUUAUGCAAACUUUGCUAUAGCAUACAAAUAUGAUUUUUUUGUUUGCUAUAUGUGAAAGUUGCUCCAGCUGAAAAGCUUGGCCUAAUUGUUCUCCCUUCUCCGGUGAUUAUAAUGUUCUAGGCCAUCGACACACCACCGGUCGUCCACCAGUCAGCCGUUGCUCUCCACUUUAGUCCCUCCGCCACCCAUCCUCUAUUCCCACGGUUUAUUAGCCCUAAUCCAAAAUUAGGAUUUCUAAAAAAAUUAUAUGUAUAAUUAAGUUAGAAAAUUAGUUUUUUUUUUACAUUGUUAUUGAUAUUAUAAGAUUUGAUCCUAUAUUUAGAAUUGUUAAUGUCUCUAGUGAGAGCCAAUUGUAUAUGUGUUGUCGUCAUAAUUUUUUUUAACAGACCGUGUCCCUGUGUUUGUGGCAACAUUUUUCAGCUUUAAAAUUUGUCAUAAGGGGUUGAUGAAGCAAAUUUCUAUUUCCUUAUCAAUUCUGCUGGCUCCAAAUAUAAUACAUCUAAACACGAAUGAUAACAGAGUCAAAUCUAGAAAUUCAUUAGCUAGUUUCAACUAGAUUUUUUAUUGGGUAAGACUUACCCGUAUUGGGUGUUUACAUCAAGUCAAUACAUGCAUGUCAUGUGUUUAAAUUUAUUGUACAUUUUACUUAAUCAUAAUUAAUUAACAUAUGUUUUAUUUCAUUAAAUCAUGUAAUAAUGGAAAUUGCAUUAGUUUGGUGUAUACACCUGGUGCGGGUAAGUUUUUUGCAUUUUUAUUGGUGAUUGGAAUAAUGUUGGAUAAAAUAACAUUAAAAAUGUUGGUGUAAUAUACCACAAAUAUAAUAAAUUACAGUUGAAAUAAAAUGAACAAAAAUGAAUAUAUUAAUCUUCAGGCUGAGGCACGGAUAUCUCGCUCUGUUUAAGGAUAUCCAAGCCCACUGUGGCAUAAUCUACACCGAUCCAGCAGUAUCACUCUUGACUUGUCCCCUCCAGGAUACAACAGUCCAACAACGUCGUACAACUCAAACAAAUCCAGAUUAGUUGAAGAGUCCAAAGCUCCACAAAAAAACACUUUCCUUCAACAUAUAAUAUUCUCUUUUGUAUAGUGAAUAUAGUGGAAGACUUAAAAUUUUCUUUGUUUCAACUCUCUCUUUCACUACACGAACCUCAAUAUAAACUUCUUAUCUUUUCUUACAUUAUUUCACUUCUACUUGGAUCCUUCACAAAGGAAGAAACACCACUAUUUAUAGGUGAAGCAGUCUUUCAUAUAAUCAAUGGGUAGAAUGAGGGGUAGUAAUGUGGGUAGAUGUUACAUGAGUUACAAGAAACUAAUGGUCAUAUGAGUUACAAGGAACUAAUGGUCAUAUGAGUUACAAGGAACUAAUGGUCAUAUGAGUUACAAGGAACUAAUGGUCAUAUGAGUUACAAGGAACUAAUGGUCAUAUGAGUUACAAGGAACUAAUGGUCAUAUGAGUUACAAGGAACUAAUGGUCAUAUGAGUUACAAGGAACUAAUGGUCAUAUGAGUUACAAGGAACUAAUGGUCAUAUGAGUUACAAGGAACUAAUGGUCAUAUGAGUUACAAGGAACUAAUGGUCAUAUGAGUUACAAGGAACUAAUGGUCAUAUGAGUUACAAGGAACUAAUGGUCAUAUGAGUUACAAGGAACUAAUGGUCAUAUGAGUUACAAGGAACUAAUGGUCAUAUGAGUUACAAGGAACUAAUGGUCAUAUGAGUUACAAGGAACUAAUGGUCAUAUGAGUUACAAGGAACUAAUGGUCAUAUGAGUUACAAGGAACUAAUGGUCAUAUGAGUUACAAGGAACUAAUGGUCAUAUGAGUUACAAGGAACUAAUGGUCAUAUGAGUUACAAGGAACUAAUGGUCAUAUGAGUUACAAGGAACUAAUGGUCAUAUGAGUUACAAGGAACUAAUGGUCAUAUGAGUUACAAGGAACUAAUGGUCAUAUGAGUUACAAGGAACUAAUGGUCAUAUGAGUUACAAGGAACUAAUGGUCAUAUGAGUUACAAGGAACUAAUGGUCAUAUGAGUUACAAGGAACUAAUGGUCAUAUGAGUUACAAGGAACUAAUGGUCAUAUGAGUUACAAGGAACUAAUGGUCAUAUGAGUUACAAGGAACUAAUGGUCAUAUGAGUUACAAGAAACUAAUGGUCAUAUGAGUUACAAGGAACUAAUGGUCAUAUGAGUUACAAGAAACUAAUGGUUAUAUGAGUUACAAGACACUAACGACCAUGAGAGUUACAAGAAGUAAUGGUCAUAUAAGUUACAACAACUAAUAGUCAUUUAUACUCACUAACAUAUGCACUUAGUAUUUUAUUUUAAUAAUAAAAUACAUAUACACCAACAAAAAAAAUAUCCCAAUAAUAUGAGUCAAUUAUAUAUACACAUUUUGAUAUCAAAUAUCUAAACCUUUAUACUAAAAAAUUCUACACAAAAAAAAUAGCUUGAUAAGAUUUCUAUUUAGAUAAAUAUUUUUAAAAUAUGUGCAUACAUUAUGAAGUAUAUCUAUAAUUACAUACCCAGUUUAUUUCUUUUUUUAUGACCCAUUAGAUUAAAAACAGAAUGUAUGAAACAAAUAGUUUUUGUUUUUUAUAAUUAAAUAUAUGAGUAUAGCUGUAUAAGUUAUUUAUAUUUUUUUAAUUAGAAUAUUUUAUUUUAGAAAAUUUCUUAUUUUUACUUGAGUGUGCUUCUUUACUAUUGCGCUUCAAAGUUUUAUAUUUACUUGAUAAAAAAAAAAAAAAGUCUUAUGGUUACUUAGACAUUACAAUAUUUUUCUUAACGUAUAUACAAGGUUAUUUCUUGAAUAGUUUUUGAUAUUCUCCAAAAAUCAUGAUAUGGAAUUAUAUGGUGAUUCCAUAUCAUGAUUUGAGAUAUUUUAAUACAAAAAUUGAUUCACGAGUUUAUAUUUUGUUAAAACAACCCCACAUUUGUAUCUACUAAUCAUUUAUUUCAUAAGUAAAUAAAAUUUAUAAUCACAUCAUUACUUUUAAAAUUUAUUUAUUCUCACUGACAUAAAAUUUAUUAUUCUCACCAACAUAUAGUCACUUUAACUCACACCAAUCGAUUGUUAAAGUGAAGAAAUAUUUAUGGUCUAUGAGCAUGAAAAUAUAGUUGCGGAUGAUAUUGACCAACAAAUGGCUCAAAGUAACAAUGUUGGUUCGUCUUCUCGGUCACAUGAUCGAGAAAUGAAAGUUCAACGUGAGAAAAUUUUCCGUACUAUGUGGGAGGAUUAUAUUAAAGACUAGUACACUACAAUUUAUGUUCAAUUUUUUUUUUAUUAAAUUAAAGUUAAAUGAAACAAUUACUUAAGUGGAGAACAAAUAGCUUUGUAAUAAUUUAUUAUGCGAUUUUAUAAUUUUUGUUUAUUUGAUAAGAUUGAAUAAACAAUUGGGGCUAUUUUAAUAGUUUUACAACUUAUGGAAUUUUUAUGUUUAUGAGAAAAAUAUACAACACAAAAAUUUCCAUAUCGCAUGUCCAAACAAAACUUCAAAUUUCAUCUCAUGAUUCCAUAUCAUGAUAUCAUAUCAUGAUUUCAUAUCAUGAUACCAUAUCGCAUGGCCAAACGGGCCCAUAACAUCACCAUUAUAGUGUCCACCACUGUGGAUGCAACAAGAAAUUUACAAAAAUACUCUUCCAUUUCAUCAGAAUUACCAUUUCUAACCUUAACAUUCCAUUUUUUAGAAAAUUCAUCAAAUUUAGCAAAUUCAACAUUCCUAUUGUAAAAAAGGGUGAUAUUAAAUGAGUAACAUAGUCAUCCAAGUAUUGAAUGAAUAGCUUUUUUUGGUAUAUAAGUAGGUGAAGAAGAAGGAAAAGGAAUAUAAGGAAGUUGACAAAAUUGUUUAGGUAAAUGAAGAUGAACUCUAUCAUAAGAAUAUUUUUUCCACGUAGGAGAGUAACAAUCUUCUUUUUGAAGAAUGAGAUUUGGUAUACAUAAUUUAUUUAUUCAAAGUCUUUAUAGUUUGACUCUGAAAAAGGAAGUUAUGACAAUUAAAAGUGGACAGAGUCAGGGGCGGAGCAACUGUAGAGGAAGGGGAUUUGGCCGAACCCACUGACUUUUUCGUAGACUCUAUAUUUAUAUUAAAAUAUGAAGUACAAUGUAUAUAUAUAUAUAUAUAUAUAUAUAUAUAUAUUUCCUGCAAACUCAUAAACACACUGAAGCAUUUAGUCCAGUGAUAGUUGAGCACCCAUCGAGAUCAUUCACACCCCAGUGGUCCAGGGGUUCGAAUCUCGGUAGUCACACAAAUUUGGGUUUAUAUAAAAAAAUAAUUAAAAAACAAAAAAUUGUUAAAUGAAAAAUAAAUAGUAUUUGUAUCGUACUCUGAAACUACAAUAUCUGACUAUUGAUUUCUAUUCAUAUUCAAAAAGUUUAACUCAAUUUUUUUUCUCCAAAAGUUAUGAUUCUAACUUUUAUUGUUGAUCUAAUUGUUGCUAUCCAACAUCUGGCCUCCGGUGUAUACUCUUGUCUCUCCCUUUUCAUUUUUUUCCUUAUUUGGUUCCUUAUUUGUUUUUAGUGAAUUGAAUACUUGUAUUUGUUCGUUAAUUUGAUGAUUGUUACUUUAGGUUAAGAUCGGUAUUCUUUUUAAAAAUUUAGAACCAACUGACAUGAAAUCAUGUCUCCACUUCUGCAUAAACUGUGUCUUUUUAUCAUUAUCUAAGGAUGAAUUUAAACGAUACAAUAUAAGAGCACAAGAACAAAUCUAACUAUUUUUUCUUUUGGCUUAUACAUUUUGACAUAUAUAACAACUUUUUUUAUUUUGGUUUUAAGACCAAAUGAGCUUGUGGUCAUUAAUUAACUGCGUAGAUGGUUAAGCUUGAGGAAGUCAACAAAAUUGAGAGAGUUGUACUUUCACCUCACCUAGGCAUUAAGUACGAGCUGUAUACUUUUCAAUCAUUUUUGUGCACUAGGUAAACCCAAACCUGUAAUAACCUGCUGCAAAUCACAUUGAAGAUAUAAAUCGUACUAGGUAAUUUUUAUGCGAUAAUUUUUCAAUGUUAAUAUAUACAAUAUUUAAAUAAUUACAUAUUUAUUGUUCAUAUUAAUUGAAAUUUUUAGUUUGUACUCAAUCUUUUACUAAUCAUUAUGUAAUAUUUUUAAAAUUUUUAUUAUUUGUUAAAAUACAACUGAUGUAAUUAUAAUUAAAAGUUGUAGGUAAUUAUAUUUAUAGCUAAUUUCUACUCCUUAAUUUGUUUAAUUCAUUUCAAUUUGAAUUAAUCACGUUUUAAUAUUGACUUUCUCAGAUUUUUAUCAAUUUUUUUAGGUGUCUUCUUAGACAUUUCAAGCCCAACCCAAUUAUAUUAUCGAAUAAUUAAAUUUAAAAAGACAUUGUCUAACUUUGAAUGUCUUAUAAAGCGUAACAAUCACUACAAUAUUGAUGAGUUAGACCUAUUUUUAUAAUUAAAGGUAAUACGAAAUAUUAUACAAAAUAAAAAUUAUACUCCAAUUGACAUACUAGGUGAUGUCUUAAUGCUAUUUUUUAUAAAUAUUUCUACUACUUCUAGAUAAACAUUUGUGGUAUUGUGUAACGUAUAAUAAUUUAUAUAUAACUAUUUCAGUCCUAUGAAUUAUUACAAAAAAAUUUAUUAUACUAUCAAUUGAAAAAGAGAAUUAGUUAUCAAAUUUAUAAUUAACUAUUAGAAUAUAUAAAUGAUUACAUAAACAUAAGAUCUCUUUUUAAAAAAAUAUUUGACUUUAGGUCUCGCAUCCUAUUAAGCUAUCGCAAUUCUGGCUGGGUGACAUAUCAAUAUAUGUGAUAAAUUUCAAUCUUGUAUCUAUAAAUUACACAAAAACAACUUUUUGGGAUUCAUGUUGUUGACCGUCCGAACUCCGAAAUUACUUUAUUGUAAAUUUAAUUUAACUUAAUUUAAUUUAAAUUAAAGUAAAGAUGAAUUAAUAUUAAUAAUCAUCACAAAAAUAUUCAGAAAAAUUUAAGGGAUAAAUUAUUAAAUUGAAUUACAUAUUAUAAUAGUUAGUAAUAAUUUUUUUACCAAUUUUAAAGAUUUAAAAAUUAAUACUAAAUUGACUAAUUUUCAAAUGAAGUUUAAACAUGAGUCGAUACUCAAAAUUCAACUCUAAGAUUACUACUAAUCUUAAAUUCUCUCACUCACAUUACAUUGCAUAAAAAAAAUUAAAUGUCAUAAUUUAAUUUAACUAACCAACAUUCACAUCCCUUCAUGUCUAAGACUCUAAAAACUCUCACUCAGCAAAAGCAAUAAAUAAUUAUUUAGAGAGCAGAGAGUUGAUAUGUGUGGCUAUGUUUUGGGCAUCAAAUGCAAUCCCAUAAAGUCCUCUUCUUGAUAACCCCACACAAUAGAGUCCAUUCUUCCCCUUCCAAUGUUGUGGAAAUUCUGGCUUUGGUAAUCCAUCUUCAUUCAGCAGAUAAUCAUCUCCCUACACAAUAAACACAUAUAGAAUGCAAAAAAUAAAAUAAAAUUUAGAAUCAUCUGAACUUAUUAUCUUUUUCUUCAAAAACAAAAUUAGAAAACAGAAGAAAAUCACACAACAAAGAAGACAAUUUAAUAUUAUUAUUAGAAUAAAAAAGAAAAGUUUACUUACCUGAAGCCACUUGUGAAUAGUUCUCUUGAAUCCAGUAGAAAAAACAAUACCAUCAAAUUGAUGAAUUUUACCAUUUUCCAACACAACAUCAUUUCCUCUUAUGCCUUUCAUUACAGGUAACACCUGUCACCAUCAUUUUAUUUAAUCACAUGAUUCAGAUACGGUUCGAAUUCCGCGAAUCAAACAGUUUAUGUUACCUGAAUUUCACCGGACUUGAUCUUUUGAUAAGUCCCCACAUCAAAAACAGGGUACUUCCCAUACUUUAUUUUACAAGCAAAUGGUCCUUCUUCUGGCCUUUUCACACCAUAAUAUUUGCUUAUAUCUCCGUACAUCAACUUACUUAACAUCACCAUUAUAGUAUCCACCACUGUAUAUGCAACUUUGUACUUCAACAACAUCAACCCCAAAUAUCCCAUUUCUCUUGAUAUCAAGUGCAUCUGUAACAUACAGACACACGAUUAGAAAUUUGGGAUUUUAAGUUUUAGGACAGAAGAAUGAUAUAACAAAAAUAAAAUAAAAAUAUUAUCAUUAAAUAUUUAUCAAAUAAGAAUGAGUACCCUAUAAGAAAUCAUCUGGAUUACGUAAGAUAAAUUUUAUCCAAUGUCGUACUUUCAAUCUUUCUGCUUCUGGCAUUACCAGUAAUAACAUUUAACCUUCCAUUUUUUAGUAAAUUUAUCAAAUUUAGCAAAUUCAACUUUUCUUUUGUAAAAAGGGGUGAUAUUAAAAUGAGUAACAUAGUUAUCCAAGUAUUGAAUGAAUAGUUUUUUUGGUAUAUAAGUAGGUGAAGAAGAAGGAAAAGGAAUAUAAGGAAGUUGACAAAAUUGUUUAGCUAAAUGAAGAUGAACUCUAUCAUAAGAAUAUUUUUUCCACAUAGGAGAGUAGCAAUCUUCUUUUUCAAGAAUGAGAUUUGGUAUACAUAAUUUAUUUAGACAUGCAGAUGUAGCAAGACCACCAGGCCCAGCACCAACAAUGAUAACCAUAGCUUCUUCAUGAUUAUCAAAUGUUGUCAUGACUAAAAUUGAGAAGAAAAUUUGAUGGUGUUGAGAGAAAAAAAAAAGAUGAGGGAUAUCUAUAUACAUGGAAAUAUACUAGAGGACAACUUUGGAGUCAUUAGAAUUUAUUUAUUUAUUUGACUAUUUUAGUUUUCAUAUGGUGACUUAUUAAUUUUUCUUUUCCUUUUUUUAUUUUGGUUUGAUUUGGUAGAUUGUGUUGAUGUUGAACUUAUUGGCAAGACACUUAUUAAAAUUAAUACUUGGUCCAUCUUUACUUGUCUACUAUAAUAUUUUGGCAUGUCUAAUAAUAUUUGUCCAGUUCAUAAAAUCAACGGAAAAUGAUCAUAUUUGCUCUUAUAGUUUCAGAAAAGGAUUAUAUUUUUCCUUUGUUAUACUUUUUUGAUAUAUUUAUCCUUGUCAUUUGCUCUUGAACCAUUAAAUCUCAUCAUUAUCCUAUGUGGCGUUUACUUGGUGUCUACGUGACAUGCCUACAUAGAUAUUUAUAUUUAUUCCACUCAAAUUAUAAUUUUUGAUUUAAUUAUUAUAUCCAAAUCCAACUCAAUACUAUACUCACUCUUUUAGCCCAUUAAACCCAACUCUCGAAUGCUUAUUUCAUUAUCACUUUCGCACAAGAAAAUAACAAUUAGAUCUGCUUAGUUGAACAAGAUUUCAUUAAACCCAACGUCUAAUUCUAACCCCCCCCCCCCCCCCCCCCCCGAUUGGUGCACAUGACUAAUUCUUACUAGCACUCUAAUUUCUCCUCCCCCUAAAAUUGCUAUGAUCAAAAUCAAACCGAUUUAUGCAUAAUCAGAAUUAUAUUUUUACUAGCAUGGACCAGUUUGGAAUUGAUCAGUUGAACUAGCUCACAUGCCUAUUACCCCACAAUUCCAUACCCCCAUCAUAUUCCAUUCCACUUAAUAAUUUUAUUGUUGAUGAGACAAAUAACUAUCGUAUCAUCAUAUCAAAUCAAAAUAUAUUUAUUUUUCCUUUUACAUAAAUUGCAACAAUCUUAAACAUGUAGUUGAUGGUUAUGACUAUGUGACGGUGGUUGUCUGGCUUAUGGUAAUUGCUAAUGAUUGUAGUUAUUUAUUAUACUAUAAAUGUCGAUGGCCAUAGUGGAUCAAGAGCUCGUAAUUGACUGUUAUGGUUGUCCAGUAAAGGUUAAUGCGUAGAAUUAAUAAUGCUAAAAAUAUUUUUACGGAAUCUCUGUAGUAAACAUCUUGAUUAAUGACUUUGUAUAAAGAAAAUUUUAAUUAUAUAAAAUUUAUGAAGAAUUAAUAAAUGAUUGUGAGAGGAAAAAAUAUAUUAAGUAACCUAAUAUAUCAAGAUUUAAAUUUAUACUUUCUUUUAAGUACAAAGAUAUAAGUAUUAAUGUUUAACAAAAUCAAUAGAUAAUUUCACACUUAAUUUCGAAUUUACCCUUAUCACUAAUUAUCGAUAUUUCUAUAUUACAUUUUUUAAGACAUAGUAUUUAUUAUUCAAAGGAUGAUAUAAUAAAAUUAUUCUUCUAUUAUAAUUUCUUAAGAAGUGUGUAAAGUCAAUAGUGAACAAAUAAUGUUGACACAGGGAGUAAGAAAAGACUUUAUUAUGUUUAUUAAAUUGUUCUUAUUAAAGUUACUUUAAUAUUUAUUUUUAAUUAAACUUUUUUCACAGUAAAAUAUUAAAUGAAAUUCAAUAAAAAUAAAAUAAAAAUAUUAUCAUUAAAUAUUUAUCAAAUAAGAAUGAGUACCCUAUAAGAAAUCAUCUGGAUUACGUAAGAUAAAUUUUAUCCAAUGUCGUACUUUCAAUCUUUCUGCUUCUGGCAUUACCAGUAAUAACAUUUAACCUUCCAUUUUUUAGUAAAUUUAUCAAAUUUAGCAAAUUCAACUUUUCUUUUGUAAAAAGGGGUGAUAUUAAAAUGAGUAACAUAGUCAUCCAAGUAUUGAAUGAAUUGUUUUUUGGUAUGUAAGUAGGUGGAGAAGAAGGAAAAGGAAUAAAAGGAAGUUGACAAAAUUGUUUAG